rnacentral:rRNA from 1 species
CCUGGCGGCCACAGCGCGGCGGUCCCACCUGACCCCAUGCCGAACUCAGAAGUGAAACGCCGUAGCGCCGAUGGUAGUGUGNCGGUGACGCGGAGAGGGCGAAACACCUGGC